rnacentral:sRNA from 1 species
AAAUAUUUUCGGCCAAAUCUCGGUAACGAGAACGGAGGACCCAAUCACCUGGGGUUUAUUCUACAUUUGUAGAAGGGAUGAGAGUCAAACUCUUUCGCCAUCCUACCCGUCAGCUAACUUCGUCGGCUAAAGCGAAGGAGGUC